GUCACUCUUUGCAGCCCCAAAGUGGUUCUAAAGGCUACCACAGGAAACUGGACUUCUAAAUACUUCAGUGACCUCAAUCCCAGGUUGGGGGAAUGUUUUUUAUAGAUCAUCACCGACCGACCUGGCUUUCAUGAUGAGAGUGCCAUCUACCCCGUGGGCUAUUGCAGUACUCGAAUAUAUGCCAGCAUGAAGUGCCCAGACCAGAAGUGUCUAUAUACCUGUCAGAUCAAGGAUGGUGGUGUGCAGCCUCAGUUUGAAAUUGUUCCUGAAGAUGACCCCCAGAAUGCCAUUGUCAGCUCUUCCGCAGAUGCUUGUCAUGCAGAACUGCUCAGGACUAUAAGCGCUACUAUGUAAGUUGACCAAAAGCUUGAAAACAGGCUAAAAGAUCACUGUUGGUACAGUGAAACCUUUUCUCUUGCUUUUAAUGGGUGGAGAUACCUUAUUUUAUAGAAACCUAUCCUGGAUCCUCCUGACAUUGUGCCAACUAGAGCCUCCACAUUAUCAAAGUCAGGAAAGCUUAUCCUGUUUGUUCAUACCACUAUUCUGUUCUUAAACCCAUCUUCAUCUCCCGCUAAGCUCUCAAACUAAAAUUAUCCCUCUCCUGUUUAGGGGGAAACUAAUGCCUAACCUGCUUCCAGCUGGAGCUGACUUUUUUGGAUUUUCUCAUCCAGCCAUCCACAACCUGAUCCAGAGCUGUCCAGGAGCUCGAAAAUGCAUCAAGUAAGUGUGGUCAAAUUCAUUCCCUUGAGAAAAGCUCAGUGAUCAUCCGGCCAGGGACUGGCAGUUCCUACUUUGUUCACUGACCUUCUGUGUCCAAAGCCUGCCUGCUUCUCGACCAGUAGGGCUCAGUAUUGGCCCCCUUAGCCCGCUGGACAGGUAAGCAAGAGCCAGGACUCCACUGUUCGCUGAUUAUUACUAUUUUCUGUAUGUACCAUGACAGCAAAAGGGGUGGGAAAUCUAGCAGAAUAAUUUGUCACUAAAGAGGCCUGCUUAUUUCUUCUAGGUUUUUGUUAGCAAAUAUGUGUUUUAGAUAUAUAUGGGCUGAAUAUAAAGAAAAAUUACCUGAUCCCUUUAGUGAUAGGAAUGGGUACUUAUGUCUAGCAGAUAACUCUCAAGGGUGAUUUCCCUUGAUUCUGCAGUUACCAGUGGGUGAAAUUUGAUGUGUGCAAACCUGGAGAUGGGCAGCUACCUGAGGGGCUGCCGGAGAAUGAUGCAGCUAUGAGCUUUGAAGCCUUUCAGAGACAGAUCUUUGAUGAAGAUCAGAAUGAUCCCCUUCUGCCAGGUAUCUUUAACUUUACCUUUCUGGUUUGAAAAUUGACUGUGUUUAGGCUACCUUCCCAUCUUCACACAUAGCCGAGUACCCUAAAUAUCUAUGCAUUGAGUGAUAAAAGCUUUCAUUGAAUCAGCCUUGCGGAGUGCUGAGUCAGAGGGGGAACUGCGGCCUGCAUAGCUUCCUAGAUUACUCACAGAUGUCAUGGGGAGCACCUGCGAUCAUAGUAAGGCAGGGUACCCCAGAAACUAAGGUAUCUCAUUCUGUAACCUAAGCAAGACUGGAGCAGAACACCAGGGGAAAGUUUACUGUGCAGGGAAUAACAUUUCAAGUGAAGUCAGUGGGGUCAAGUCAAGGCCUUGGCCCUGCCUGUGUUCCAUGAGUUCCUCCCACAAAUGAGUGAUCAGGGGUUCAGGCUUUGGGGUCAUAUAGGGAAAACUCUGGGUUAAAAAAUGGAAUUGAAAUUCUCACUCUUUGCCUAAUAUACUAUAUAACCCUAGGCAAGUCACUUAAUGUUUCAACCAGUUUUCAUUGUAAAAGUAUCUGUCCUAUCUUAACAAAGGCAAAAUUGAGCUGACAAAUGCAAGGGUGUUAAGGAAUUGAUUGAAAGGACAUGUAUGUGUCUGACCAAAACAGUCUGCUCAGACUCCCAAGCAGCAGUGGAACUUAAGGAAUUGUUUUCUCCAGGAUCCUUGGACCUCCCAGAGCUUCACCCUGCAGCCUUUGUGUCUUCUUACCAGCCCAUGUACCUGACACAUGAACCCUUGGUAGAUACUCACCUGCAGCACUUGAAGUCUCCAUCACAGGGUAGCCCAAUUCAGUCUUCAGAUUGAACAAGAAGGGAUCAGAUGCCACAUCAUUUUUGUCGUGAUUAAUUUAACUUAAACUAAAAUUUUGGGUAUAUGGAAGAAGGCAGCAAUUGAGAAGUAAAGAAGAUAUUAACGUAUUUCAUCAUGGAGGGUCCUGUGGUGAUGGUUUUCCCUGGGAAAACCUUCAGCUGCUUUAUUUUUAGUAAUAAAUUUCUCUUUGUCAAUUCUGU
rnacentral:sRNA from 1 species